rnacentral:rRNA from 1 species
AUUGAACGCUGGCGGCAGGCCUAACACAUGCAAGUCGAACGGUAACAGGAAUCAGCUUGCUGAUUUGCUGACGAGUGGCGGACGGGUGAGUAAUGUCUGGGAAACUGCCUGAUGGAGGGGGAUAACUACUGGAAACGGUAGCUAAUACCGCAUAACGUCGCAAGACCAAAGAGGGGGACCUUCGGGCCUCUUGCCAUCGGAUGUGCCCAGAUGGGAUUAGCUAGUAGGUGGGGUAAAGGCUCACCUAGGCGACGAUCCCUAGCUGGUCUGAGAGGAUGACCAGCCGCACUGGAACUGAGACACGGUCCAGACCCCUACGGGAGGCAGCAGUGGGGAAUAUUGCACAAUGGGCGCAAGCCUGAUGCAGCCAUGCCGCGUGUAUGAAGAAGGCCUUCGGGUUGUAAAGUACUUUCAGCGGGGAGGAAGGGAGUAAAGUUAAUACCUUUGCUCAUUGACGUUACCCGCAGAAGAAGCACCGGCUAACUCCGUG